AACUUCUAACCAUCUUAUCCGAUCCCAAUGCAAAGCCUAACUGAGAAAAUGGCGUCCGAGGGGAAUUCGCCGACUGCCACGCUGCCCUCUCAGGCCUGUUGUUGCUGUCAAACAUUUCGUUGCGUGGAAUCUUUUUCAUACGACCCGUGGGGAACACGUGUCCCGACACUCACUCUUCUGACUCCGCCUAGUCGCACCGGGAGGUGAGAUCCCGCCAGGCAGGAGCCCUGACCCAGGAGGGUCGUGCCUACGAAAUCCUUUCCAGGAGAUCGUUUCGUCCGCCUGCAUCAUCACACGGGGAUUUUCGACAAUUUAGGAAAACACCAUCUAACAACAAUUAGAAAUUAACUUUCCAAGAUGAAAAAGGAGAGUCAUUUAGAAAUAAGAGCGACAAAGGAAUAUGUUUAGAAAAAUGUAGUAAUACACAGUCACUUAUCCAAUGACUCUCACUUUUUGCCAGAAAAUUACCAAGGAGAGAAGGAAAAAGAAGUUAGCAAGGGAAAUUCCUGUCUCCACACCCCAGCGCUGUCUCCUCAUGUGGGGUGUGGGGGGCUGGUCGGCCCUCCUUGGGACCUUUGGGACUGAGGCUUGUAAGGUGAUGCCACUCGUUCCCAUAAGCUUUCUGUCUGAUUUCUCACGCAGCCCAAACAAGAGCAGGUGUGGGUGCAAAGGUGACACGCAGACCUACCGAUAGUAGCAGCAGGUGACAGAUAACAGCCAGGGACACACAUACAGAGACUUGAGGGACUAGGGAAGCAUCACUGGGGCUAUUCGGCGAGGCCACUGCCUGGAUGGUGCAUUGCAGGUGAGGUGACCACCGGCCGUGAGUAAAAUAACGAUUCUUGCCCCUUCUACGUGGUCAGAGAACAUGACAAAUACAUUUAAAUUCUAUUAAAAGUGACUUAAUUUUUAAAAACAUUUCUUGGUUCUUUUUGUAAAUUUUAUUUACUUUUUAAAUAAUUUGAGAGAGAUCUUUAUUGUUGAGAUUAUUACAUAUGUCCCUCUUCCCCCUCCCACUGUCCCCCUCCACCUGGUUCCCACCCUGACCCAGGCCUUCACCACUCUAUUGUCUAUGUCCACAGGUAAUACACAUCCUAUAUAAUAAAAGGCGAAUAUGCAAAUCGACUGAAUGGUGGAAUGACCGGUUGCU